rnacentral:rRNA from 1 species
AUUGAACGCUGGCGGCAUGCCUUACACAUGCAAGUCGAACGGCAGCACGGGUGCUUGCCCCUGGUGGCGAGUGGCGAACGGGUGAGUAAUACAUCGGAACAUGUCCUGUAGUGGGGGAUAGCCCGGCGAAAGCCGGAUUAAUACCGCAUACGAUCUACGGAUGAAAGCGGGGGCCCUUCGGGCCUCGCGCUAUAGGGUUGGCCGAUGGCUGAUUAGCUAGUUGGGGGGGUCAAGGCCUACCAAGGCGACGAUCAGUAGCUGGCCUGAGAGGACGACCAGCCACACUGGGACUGAGACACGGCCCAGACUCCUACGGGAGGCAGCAGUGGGGAAUUUUGGACAAUGGGCGAAAGCCUGAUCCAGCAAUGCCGCGUGUGUGAAGAAGGCCUUCGGGUUGUAAAGCACUUUUGUCCGGAAAGAAAUCCUUGGCCCUAAUACGGUCGGGGGAUGACGGUACCGGAAGAAUAAGCACCGGCUAACUACGUG